CAGGUAGGUGGCUAUAUAAGUCGAAGGUGAAAUCCUUGCGCUCAACGCAAGAACUGCCUUCGAGACUAUGUAGCUUGAGUGCAGAAGAGGAAAACGGAAUUCCAGGUGUAAGAGUGAAAUCUGUAGAUAUCUGGAAGAACGCCAGUGGCGAAAGCGGUUUUCUGGUCUGCAACUGACAUUGAGCUGCGAAAGCUAGGGGAGCAAACAGGAUUAGAUACCCUGGUAGUCC
rnacentral:rRNA from 1 species